rnacentral:rRNA from 1 species
AUUGAACGCUGGCGGCAUGCCUUACACAUGCAAGUCGAACGGCAGCACGGGUGCUUGCACCUGGUGGCGAGUGGCGAACGGGUGAGUAAUACAUCGGAACAUGUCCUGUAGUGGGGGAUAGCCCGGCGAAAGCCGGAUUAAUACCGCAUACGAUCUACGGAUGAAAGCGGGGGACUUCGGGCCCUCGCCCUAUGGGGUUGCCGAUGGCUGAUUAGCUAGUUGGUGGGGUAAAGGCCUACCAAGGCGACGAUCAGUAGCUGGUCUGAGAGGACGACCAGCCACACUGGGACUGAGACACGGCCCAGACUCCUACGGGAGGCAGCAGUGGGGAAUUUUGGACAAUGGGCGAAAGCCUGAUCCAGCAAUGCCGCGUGUGUGAAGAAGGCCUUCGGGUUGUAAAGCACUUUUGUCCGGAAAGAAAUCCUUGGCCCUAAUACGGUCGGGGGAUGACGGUACCGGAAGAAUAAGCACCGGCUAACUACGUG